rnacentral:rRNA from 1 species
GAUGAACGCUAGCUACAGGCUUAACACAUGCAAGUCGAGGGGCAGCGCAGUGUAGUAAUACAUGGGCGGCGACCGGCGCACGGGUGCGUAACGCGUAUCCAACCUUCCCGUUACUCAGGGAUAGCCUUCCGAAAGGGAGAUUAAUACCUGAUGGUGUUCAAAUUCCGCAUGUUAUUUGAACUAAAGAUUUAUCGGUAACGGAUGGGGAUGCGUGACAUUAGAUAGUAGGCGGGGUAACGGCCCACCUAGUCUACGAUGUCUAGGGGUUCUGAGAGGAAGGUCCCCCACACUGGAACUGAGACACGGUCCAGACUCCUACGGGAGGCAGCAGUGAGGAAUAUUGGUCAAUGGUCGGAAGACUGAACCAGCCAAGUAGCGUGAAGGAUGAAGGUUCUAUGGAUUGUAAACUUCUUUUAUACGGGAAUAAAACCUCCCACGUGUGGGAGCUUGUAUGUACCGUAUGAAUAAGCAUCGGCUAACUCCGUG